AACGAACGCUGGCGGCAGGCCUAACACAUGCAAGUCGAGCGCGCCCUUCGGGGUGAGCGGCGGACGGGUGAGUAACGCGUGGGAACGUGCCCUUUUCUACGGAAUAGCCUCGGGAAACUGAGAGUAAUACCGUAUACGCCCUUUGGGGGAAAGAUUUAUCGGAAAAGGAUCGGCCCGCGUUGGAUUAGGUAGUUGGUGGGGUAAUGGCCUACCAAGCCGACGAUCCAUAGCUGGUUUGAGAGGAUGAUCAGCCACACUGGGACUGAGACACGGCCCAGACUCCUACGGGAGGCAGCAGUGGGGAAUCUUAGACAAUGGGGGCAACCCUGAUCUAGCCAUGCCGCGUGAGUGAUGAAGGCCUUAGGGUUGUAAAGCUUUUUCAGCUGGGAAGAUAAUGACGGUACCAGCAGAAGAAGCCCCGGCUAACUCCGUG
rnacentral:rRNA from 1 species